rnacentral:snRNA from 1 species
AGCUUUGUGCUGUGGCAGUAUUGUAACCAUUGAGGUCUAUCCGAGGCAUGAUUAUUGCUACUUCAAAUAUUCUUUAAAAAUAUC